GGGUGAUCUGGUUGCGACAUCUGUCACCCCAUUGAUCGCCAGGGUUGAUUCGGCUGAUCUGAUUGGCUAGGCGGGUGUCCCCUUCCUCCAUGUGCGUCCCUCCCGAAGCUGCGCGCUCGGUGGAAGAGGACGACCAUCACAGAUAGAAGGAGUGUACCGUUCUUCCGUCAAGGGUAUACGAAAGCUGCGCUCCCCUGCUAGAACCUCCAAACAAGCAGGAGGUUGCCUGUUUUUGAUGGGGUUACACUUCCUCUGAAGGAGCAGGUAAGCAGCUUGAGGGUCCU